GCAGUCGAACGGAGCUGAGAGGAGCUUGCUUUUCUUAGCUUAGUGGCGAACGGGUGAGUAACGCGUGAGUAACCUGCCCUGGAGUGGGGGACAACAGUUGGAAACGACUGCUAAUACCGCAUAAGCCCACGGCCCGGCAUCGGGCUGAGGGAAAAGGAUUUAUUCGCUUCAGGAUGGACUCGCGUCCAAUUAGCUAGUUGGUGAGGUAACGGCCCACCAAGGCGACGAUUGGUAGCCGGACUGAGAGGUUGAACGGCCACAUUGGGACUGAGACACGGCCCAGACUCCUACGGGAGGCAGCAGUGGGGAAUAUUGCACAAUGGGGGAAACCCUGAUGCAGCGACGCCGCGUGGAGGAAGAAGGUCUUCGGAUUGUAAACUCCUGUUGUUGGGGAAGAUAAUGACGGUACCCAACAAGGAAGUGACGGCUAACUACGUGCCAGCAGCCGCGGUAAAACGUAGGUCACAAGCGUUGUCCGGAAUUACUGGGUGUAAAGGGAGCGCAGGCGGGAAGACAAGUUGGAAGUGAAAUCUAUGGGCUCAACCCAUAAACUGCUUUCAAAACUGUUUUUCUUGAGUAGUGCAGAGGUAGGCGGAAUUCCCGGUGUAGCGGUGGAAUGCGUAGAUAUCGGGAGGAACACCAGUGGCGAAGGCGGCCUACUGGGCACCAACUGACGCUGAGGCUCGAAAGUGUGGGUAGCAAACAGGAUUAGAUACCCUGGUAGUCCACACCGUAAACGAUGAUUACUAGGUGUUGGAGGAUUGACCCCUUCAGUGCCGCAGUUAACACAAUAAGUAAUCCACCUGGGGAGUACGACCGCAAGGUUGAAACUCAAAGGAAUUGACGGGGGCCCGCACAAGCAGUGGAGUAUGUGGUUUAAUUCGACGCAACGCGAAGA
rnacentral:rRNA from 1 species